ACCCUCUCUUGAUCUCAUUUAUUUUCUGUAAAUUAGAAUAGUAAAUUUAUUUUUAUGACACUUGCUAUUCAUGUAAAGAUAAUCCAGGUAAAGUAUUUAUUAGUCCAUACUGCCUGACAAAUACUCAAUUAUGAGGAAGUAUUAAUUGCUAAUGUGGAGUAGAGUGGGUAAUAAACAACUGCCUUUUGUUUUUGUACCAGCCGCAAAGCAAAAUAAAUUGUUAACAGUUGCUUAGUCUCCUUGAAAAUUCUCUAACUGUGUAUACUUUUUCUUUGCAGCAUUGCUGUAUGUGUGUGUUUGGAAAGCCAGUAAUUACCUCUUGCAGAUAGAGCUGCCCAAACAGUCUUUCCCAUGGCAACUGAAAAAAUAAAAAAUAAAAGCAAAAAAAAAAAAAAAAAAAUUAGAGGUUACAUAAGUGCCCUUACUGGACUAGGAGGAGUGUGGAGAUCAGAUCAUGAGCUGUGGAAUCCGAGUGCGGCUGCCAAGAGGAAUCCAGAAAAGCCAAAGAGCCCAAGCAUGUCAGACCUUCCUGUAGCCACACACACACACCCCUCAAACCCCAAGGAAGUGAGUGAGAAUCACCGGCAGGGAGACAGCCAACCAGGCGCUGAGCUGCGCUGUUUUGUGUUUCUUUCUUUCUUUUUUUUAUUCUGAAGCCAGACCGUCUUUCCUCACAGCUCCAGGGCUGCAUCGCUGCGGGCACGCCAAGCUUCUCCUGGUUACCUGAGCUGCUGUGGCUGUCUCCCGGCUUCGGCUUCUUCA
rnacentral:lncRNA from 1 species